rnacentral:rRNA from 1 species
UACGUAGGGGGCGAGCGUUGUCCGGAUUUAUUGGGCGUAAAGAGCGUGUAGGCGGUUCGGUAAGUCUGUCGUGAAAUCCUGAGGCUCAACCUCGGGCGUGCGAUGGAUACUGCCGGGCUAGAGGGUGGUAGAGGCGAGUGGAAUUCCCGGUGUAGCGGUGAAAUGCGCAGAUAUCUGGAGGAACACCGGUGGCGAAGGCGGCAUCCUGGACCGGCAUUGACGCUGAGGCGCGAAAGCUAGGGGAGCAAACGGG